rnacentral:rRNA from 1 species
AAUAGAUACCCGGGUAGUCCAUGCCAUAAACGAUGUGUGCUAGUUGCUGGGAAUUUCAUUCUCAGUGACGCAGCUAACGCAGUAAGCACACCGCCUGGGGAGUACGGUCGCAAGAUUAAAACUCAAAGGAAUUGACGGGGGCCCGCACAAGCGGUGGAGCAUGUUGUUUAAUUCGACGCAACGCGAAAAACCUUACCUACGCUUGACAUGUCCGGACGGUUGCCAGAGAUGGCUUCCUUCCCGCAAGGGACCGGAACACAGGUGCUGCAUGGCUGUCGUCAGCUCGUGUCGUGAGAUGAUGGGUUAAGUCCCGCAACGAGCGCAACCCUUGUCGUCUGUUGCCAUCAGGUAAUGCUGGGCACUCUGACGAGACUGCCGGUGAUAAGCCGGAGGAAGUGGGAUGACGUCAAGUCAUCAUGGCCCUUACGCGUAGGGCUACAAACGUGCUACAAUGGUAGUGACAGUGAGCAGCGACCCUGCGAAGGGGAGCUAACCUCAAAAAGCUAUCU